UGGGGAAUUUUGGACAAUUGGGCGAAAGCCUGAUCCAGCAAUGCCGCGUGUGUGAAGAAGGCCUUCGGGUUGUAAAGCACUUUUGUCCGGAAAGAAAUCCUUGGCUCUAAUACAGUCGGGGGAUGACGGUACCGGAAGAAUAAGCACCGGCUAACUACGUGCCAGCAGCCGCGGUAAUACGUAGGGUGCAAGCGUUAAUCGGAAUUACUGGGCGUAAAGCGUGCGCAGGCGGUUUGCUAAGACCGAUGUGAAAUCCCCGGGCUCAACCUGGGAACUGCAUUGGUGACUGGCAGGCUAGAGUAUGGCAGAGGGGGGUUAGAAUUCCACGUGUAGCAGUGAAAUGCGUAGAGAUGUGGAGGAAUACCGAUGGCGAAGGCAGCCCCCUGGGCCAAUACUGACGCUCAUGCACGAAAGCGUGGGGAGCAAACAGGAUUAGAUACCCCUGGUAGUCCACGCCCUAAACGAUGUCAACUAGUUGUUGGGGAUUCAUUUCCUUAGUAACGUAGCUAACGCGUGAAGUUGACCGCCUGGGGAGUA
rnacentral:rRNA from 1 species